AACGCGAAGAACCUUACCUGGGUUUGACAUCCCAUGAAAAGUGCAGAGAUGCAUAAUAGCCGCAAGGCACAUGGAGACAGGUGCUGCAUGGCUGUCGUCAGCUCGUGUCGUGAGAUGUUGGGUUAAGUCCCGCAACGAGCGCAACCCUUUCCCUUAUUUGCCAGCAUUAAGUUGGGCACUCUAGGGGUACUGCCGAUGAUAAAUCGGAGGAAGGUGGGGACGAGGUCAAGUCAUCAUGGCCCUUACAUCCAGGGCAACACACGUACUACAAUGGCCAAGACAAAGCGAAGCGACACCGUAAGGUAGAGCCAAUCGCAAAAACAUGGUCUCAGUUCGGAUUGUGGUCUGCAACUCGACCACAUGAAGUUGGAAUCUCUAGUAAUCGCAGAUCAGCAGGCUGCGGUGAAUACGUUCCCGGGCCUUGUACACACCGACAUA
rnacentral:rRNA from 1 species